AACGAACGCUGGCGGCAGGCUUAACACAUGCAAGUCGAGCGCCCCGCAAGGGGAGCGGCAGUCGGGUGAGUAACGCGUGGGAACGUACCUUUUGGUUCGGAACAACUCCGUGAAACUGGAGCUAUUACCGGAUAAGCCCUAACGGGGAAAGACUUAUCGCCUAAAGAUCGGCCCGCGUCUGAUUCGCUCGUUGGUGAGGUAACGGCUCACCAAGGCGACGAUCAGUAGCUGGUCUGAGAGGAUGAUCAGCCACACUGGGACUGAGACACGGCCCAGACUCCUACGGGAGGCAGCAGUGGGGAAUAUUGGACAAUGGGCGCAAGGCUGAUCCAGCCAUGCCGGGUGAGUGAUGAAGGCCUUAGGGUUGUAAAGCUCUUUUGUCCGGGAAGAUAAUGACGGUACCGGAAGAAUAAGCCCCGGCUAACUUCGUG
rnacentral:rRNA from 1 species